GGAAAUCCCUGUAUACCUGAGGUAUUCCAGGAAACUGGUUUUAAAAGAUUUCAUUCUCACAAUCGUAUAUUGAAGAAAUACCAUUUUAUCUACUGCGAGCUUCUUUUAUGGCUACCUUCAAGGAAAAAAAAAACUACAAAGGAAAGAUGAAGAACAGUUGUAGCAAAAGCAAGCUGAAACAAAAAGAACAUAAAAAACACAGAGCUCAUGAACUUGGAGGUGAAAACUUCAAAUGAAGAAAACAAAUCAGGCUGGAGACUCUUCAAAACAAACAAGUUCCUACCAUAUUUUCACUCUUACUCUUGCAGCAAAUACAUGACAGUGUAACAGCUGAACUUAAGUCUCUGGGAGUUUCUGGUACUUUGGUAACCUUUGGUGCUUUUUGACCUUGAGAGAAAGGCAUAGGAACUGUACCAGGAAAGGAUAGCAGACUAUGUAAUCCAACAGAUUAAACUCAUUUGCUGUGGUUUCCUUAAGCAGAAGAAAUUAUAACUUCCCUAUUAAAACCAACAUACAGCAACACUUCUGCUUUCCCUGUCUUCAAGAUCAUAACGCCCUUGAAGACCAGUGGGAUCAGUGUGGCUGUUUGAAGGUUAUGUUGUGGAUGCUGCAAAUACCCUUCCUUACAGAGGCUUUUUUCCAGAAGUGACCAAGAAGAAUGUGCUUGCCUACAGCUAUCACUAAUGGGCUACAAAACUUUAAUCUUGAGGAGGAAAUACUUUCAAUUUGCUUCUUUGUCAGAUCAUAGCAUGCUCCUCUUACUCAUUUUGCUUGGUGCCAGAGCAGAGUAUUGUAAUUUGAUGUAAUGGGGGUCCAGUGGUAUGUUGAUGGGCAAUACUGUAUGGUAGUUUCCUGCUACCACUUGAUCCUGCUGCAAUUUGUACAGCCGAUGGGUUUCAGCAGAGUUUCAAGCUAAUUUCAGGAGACUGGGGUAGAAGGGAGGCGAACCAAAGGACCAUCAAGGGCUCUAGUAGGGAGAGAGGAAUUAUUAAAUGGGAGCAUUCUCUGAAAGGAGUGAUCAAAAACUUGUAAAAAAGGGGGAUAUGCCUUCUAUGCAUUCUAAGAAAGAAGUAGAAAAGUAAAAACAACUUAGGCAUUCUGAGCUAUGCAGUUCCAACUCUUGUUAAAUCAGAAAUGUGGUCUAAAUGGGUACUUAGCAGAGUAGUUCAACCCAACUUCUCUCUGCUGAAUUUUGCCUGUAAAACUGACUAUAAGAAGAAUUUAUCUUGUUCUCUGAAGAGACAAAGAGGGAAACUCUCAAUUGUUUUAUACUGUAUGUGUUUUGGAGGUGUGAGCUUCCUGAAGGAACAAUGUUUCUUCCUGGACCGUGACAUUAAUAAUAAACAAAAACCCCACCUAGCUUAUUCUCACUUAAAUUCCUGAAAAACUAAUUGCAUUUAGAAGAAGACUUAGAUUCAUUUGGAUAGCUGAUGUCAGCAUAGUUUAAAAACUAAAACAUAAUAGUUGUAACUCUUGAGAACACGUCACAGCAGAGCACUAUAGGAAAGGGAACUAAGCUAACUCAAACAGGAAUGACAAUUUUCUUUUGUCCAAUAUUGCUUAAGAUAAAUAGUUACUGCUUUUAAACAUAAUUAUUCAAGGCUAAGUUACCUUACCUUAUUUUAAGGGAAAUUCAGACUGUUCUGAGAGUAUAGUAAUUUGGUGCAAUCCAAAGUUCACCAAGGCUGCCCUGAGAGAUCCCUGUUGUUGUAUCCAUCAGGGCUCCUUUCUUCUAAUUCUUUCUGAAAGGAAAUAUUUUUACAGGCUAUUGUAAAGCUUCAUAAAGCUAAGUGUUUUCUUUAAAAUAAAUAUUGAAGACAUAGGAAACUGGUGCAGAAUUUAAACUCUGGAUCAAAUCUGUGUUAUGAAAUAGUUACAGGGAAGUCUUGAAGAAUUAAGAAAUACAACAUGAAAACUGUGACAGCAAUCCUAGGUGACUGGUUCUGUCUCAGCUGUGGAUACGUCUGGCUAAAAACUUGUUCUCAAUUCAAAACUUGUGCAAAAGAUAAAUGAUUACACGAGCAAGUUCUGAGUACACUGAGUAAAAUUAGUCAUGAGCAGAGCUUCACUGAACAAGAAAAUUGACAUAAAAUAUUACAGGUCUAUAAAAUCUACUAAGAGUAAUGCAUUUCUAGUGUAGUUUCAGUGGUGUUACUGAUAACAGGCAACUCCAGUAUUUCUCACUCUGAGAGAAUUCCUGUGGUAUAUAUUUGUUGAGGACCAUGAUCCUAUGUGCCUGAGUAGCCAUGCUGCUACUCAAAACAGGGAGACUCCUAAAAAGUACUUUUGGAGUGGAUUUGUAAAUAAAAUAUGUGCUUUACAGAAAAAUUAAAGUGUAUUUCUACUGAAAAGCUCAAGUAGGUAACUCAUGGUAGUCAAAACAACAAACCACGUAGACCCACAAGUUGUGGGAAGGAGUAUAAUAGUUAUUGCUUCCUAAUUCUGGAGUAUUGUGUUGGCAUGAGUGUAUGGGUUUGGUAGUUUAUUUUUAUCAGUUGCACCUGAUGAUUCAUCCUCUUGUAUGCAUUACAAAUAUUUAAGUGACUAUUUCCUUAUGCAUGAGUAAACAUUUCCUAGGACUGGGUGCGUGGAGUAAGUCCCACUAAUGCUAUUUAUUUUGCUACAGCAGUGCUAAUCUGCAAUUUAUCCAUUCUUAGACAUGUGCUACAGAACAUUAUUAUUAAACUGAGAAUGUUAAUUAAAAAUACAUUGAACUGGCUGUUCUAAAUCCUCUUUCCUAUUUUAAAUGAAUAAGGGAACUUGAUGCUGUUCUUCAUUGUGAAAUAUGGAGGUAGAGCAAUUUUUAAUGAAAUGUACUGUUUGUUUUGAAGAAAUAUACUUUCCAUAUCUCAUUGAGAUUAUCAUACAUAGUUUGAA